UAACACGUGGGAACCUUCCCUAUAGUACGGAAUAGCCCAUGGAAACUUGGAGUAAUACCGUAUACGCCCGAAAGGGGAAAGAUUUAUCGCUAUAGGAUGGGCCCGCGUAGGAUUAACUAGUUGGUGAGGUAAUGGCUCACCAAGGCGACGAUCCUUAGCUGGUUUGAGAGAACGACCACCCACACUGGGACUGAGACACGGCCCAGACUCCUACGGGAGGCAACAGUGGGGAAUAUUGGACAAUGGGCGCAAGCCUGAUCCAGCCAUGCCGCGUGAGUGAUGAAGGCCUUAGGGUUGUAAAGCUCUUUUGCCGGGGACGAUAAUGACGGUACCCGGAGAAUAAGUCCCGGCUAACUUCGUGCCAGCAGCCGGGGUAAUAC
rnacentral:rRNA from 1 species